rnacentral:rRNA from 1 species
UAGCGUAUAUUAAACUUGUUGCAGUUAAAAAGCUCGUAGUUGAAUUUCUGCGUUAUCGAGUUAUUGACUCUUGUCUUUAAUCGAUUUCGCUUUUGGGAUUUAUCCCUUUUUACUUUGAGAAAAUUAGAGUGUUUCAAGCAGACUUUUGUCUUGAAUACUUCAGCAUGGAAUAAUAGAGUAGGACUUUGGUUCUAUUUUGUUGGUUUUUGAACCUUAGUAAUGGUUAAUAGGAACGGUUGGGGGCAUUCGUAUUUAACUGUCAGAGGUGAAAUUCUUAGAUUUGUUAAAGACGAACUACUGCGAAAGCAUUUGCCAAGGACGUUUCCAUUAAUCAAGAACGAAAGUUAGGGGAUCGAAGACGAUCAGAUACCGUCGUAGUCC